rnacentral:rRNA from 1 species
AGUCGAGGGGCAGCAUGGUCUUAGCUUGCUAAGGCCGAUGGCGACCGGCGCACGGGUGAGUAACACGUAUCCAACCUGCCGUCUACUCUUGGACAGCCUUCUGAAAGGAAGAUUAAUACAAGAUGGCAUCAUGAGUCCGCAUGUUCACAUGAUUAAAGGUAUUCCGGUAGACGAUGGGGAUGCGUUCCAUUAGAUAGUAGGCGGGGUAACGGCCCACCUAGUCUUCGAUGGAUAGGGGUUCUGAGAGGAAGGUCCCCCACAUUGGAACUGAGACACGGUCCAAACUCCUACGGGAGGCAGCAGUGAGGAAUAUUGGUCAAUGGGCGAGAGCCUGAACCAGCCAAGUAGCGUGAAGGAUGACUGCCCUAUGGGUUGUAAACUUCUUUUAUAAAGGAAUAAAGUCGGGUAUGGAUACCCGUUUGCAUGUACUUUAUGAAUAAGGAUCGGCUAACUCCGUGCCAGCAGCCGCGGUAAUACGGAGGAUCCGAGCGUUAUCCGGAUUUAUUGGGUUUAAAGGGAGCGUAGAUGGAUGUUUAAGUCAGUUGUGAAAGUUUGCGGCUCAACCGUAAAAUUGCAG